UGGGGAAUAUUGGACAAUGGGCGCAAGCCUGAUCCAGCCAUGCCGCGUGAGUGAUGAAGGCCCUAGGGUUGUAAAGCUCUUUCACCGGUGAAGAUAAUGACGGUAACCGGAGAAGAAGCCCCGGCUAACUUCGUGCCAGCAGCCGCGGUAAUACGAAGGGGGCUAGCGUUGUUCGGAUUUACUGGGCGUAAAGCGCACGUAGGCGGACUAUUAAGUCAGGGGUGAAAUCCCGGGGCUCAACCCCGGAACUGCCUUUGAUACUGGUAGUCUUGAGUUCGGGAGAGGUGAGUGGAAUUCCGAGUGUAGAGGUGAAAUUCGUAGAUAUUCGGAGGAACACCAGUGGCGAAGGCGGCUCACUGGCUCGAUACUGACGAUGAGGUGCGAAAGCGUGGGGAGCAAACAGG
rnacentral:rRNA from 1 species